UACGUAGGGUCCGAGCGUUGUCCGGAAUUAUUGGGCGUAAAGGGCUCGUAGGCGGUUUGUCGCGUCGGGAGUGAAAACACCGGGCUUAACUCGGUGCUUGCUUUCGAUACGGGCAGACUGGAGGUAUGCAGGGGAGAACGGAAUUCCUGGUGUAGCGGUGAAAUGCGCAGAUAUCAGGAGGAACACCGGUGGCGAAGGCGGUUCUCUGGGAAUGACCUGACGCUGAGGAGCGAAAGUGUGGGGAGCGAACAGG
rnacentral:rRNA from 1 species